UAUCUCUACCCAGGAUACAGUUAGGCAAGAUGCUGACUCUCUCUUCCCAGGGUCCAGUCAGACCAGAUGGUGACUCUCUCUCUCCAGUGUGGUCAGGCAAGAUGCCGACUCUCUCUUCCUGGGAAACAAAUUAGAUAGCAAUGAUGACUAUGAGGGCUGCAAAUUUCAGCCAAGGCCAUCAUCUUUGAUCGGUGAAAACAAAGGGGCACUGUCAGAGUUCGUCCAUUGCCCCCAGAUCCCAGCCAAAUCCUAUCUCCAUGACAGCACAUUGUGCAAGGCACAGGCAAUAAGCAGACGAUGAUGACAAUAAUUACGCAAUUGGAAAAGUAGCAGAAUCAGUUUAACAGAGGAACAGUGCACAAACUAGAUCUGAACAUAGGCAAUAUCAGAACUGCACUCAGUCGACGCACAAGAAUGUCAGUGCUGACAGUGGGCUGGAGGCCAACGCCUGGAAAAUGGUUGUUGGGCACU